rnacentral:rRNA from 1 species
GCUCACGGCCAUACCAGCCUGGAAUCGCCCGAUCUCGUCUGAUCUCGGAAGCUAAGCCGGGUCGGGCCUGGUUAGUACUUGGAUGGGAGACCGCCUGGGAAUACCAGGUGCUGUAAGCA